rnacentral:rRNA from 1 species
AUGAACGCUAGCUACAGGCUUAACACAUGCGAGUCGAGGGGUAGCAGGGUAGCAAUACCGCUGACGACCGGCGCACGGGUGAGUAACACGUAUCCAACCUUCCCAUAACUCAGGGAUAGCCUCUCGAAAGAAAGAUUAAUACCUGAUAGUACUUUUUCAAGGCAUCUUGAAAAAGUUAAAGAUUUAUUGGUUAUGGAUGGGGAUGCGUUCCAUUAGAUAGUUGGUGAGGUAACGGCUCGCCAAGUCUUCGAUGGAUAGGGGGUUCUGAGAGGAAGGUCCCCCACAUUGGUACUGAGACACGGACCAAACUCCUACGGGAGGCAGCAGUGAGGAAUAUUGGUCAAUGGGCGAGAGCCUGAACCAGCCAAGUAGCGUGAAGGGAAUGAAGGUCCUAUGGAUUGUAAACUUCUUUUAUAGUAGAAUAAAGUGAUCCACGUGUGGAUUUUUGUAUGUAUACUAUGAAUAAGGAUCGGCUAACUCCGUGCCAGCCGCCGC